CCAACUUUUUCCCCUGAUCAACAGUUGUUAAAGAAAAGACAACAGGCCCAAAAAGGUGUCACUCAUGCUAAGGUUCCAUGUCACCAAACAGAAACCUAAGUUGUUUACUUAGAAGAUCUGACCUUCCAACAAAUCAGAAGAGACAAUAGCUAAAUUCCAUUAAGCCAGCAAGAUUUCACUUAUAUCCCUGUGAGGAAAGUAACCUUGAAAUGGCCAAUUCGCUUUUUGUUCCUCGUUCCUGCCUUCCUGCACUUUUUUCUGCCUAUAAAACUCGCCCACUUUGUUUAGCUCAUUGGACUUCCUUCUAGUUUGUAGAUUGGAUUCUAGUUUGUAGAUUGGUUCAUGAAUCACUGUUAAAGCCAAUCAGAUCUUUGAAACUCUGUUGAAAUUUUGUCCUUGACAAAGUACAUAGAAUAGUAUGUAAAAGGGAGAAAAAUUUCUCUAUAAUCCCACUGCUCAUAAAUAUUUAGUGCAGACUAACAUUUUGAUAUUUUCUCAUUAGUCUUUUUUCUCAGCUUUAUUGUUUUGGUAGUUGAGAUUAUACUUUAUUACAUAUAUUCAGGCACUAAAAAUGUUUUAUAAAAUCCUGAGUUAUAUUAAAAUGUAGGGGUUUUGGCUGGGUACAGUGGCUCACGCCUGUAAUCCCAGCAUUUUGGGUGGCAGAGAUGGGUGGAUUACCUGAGGUCAGGAAUUUGAGACCAGGCUGGCCAACAUGGUGAAACCCCAGCUCUACUAAAAAUACAAAAGUUAACUGGGCAUGGUGGUGUGUGCCUAUAAUCCCAGCUACUCAGGAGGCUGCAGCAGGAGAAUUGCCUCAACCCGAGAGGCAGAGAUUGCAGUGAGCCGGGAUUCCACCACUGCGCUCCAGCCUAGAUGACAGAGUAAGACUCUGUCUCAAACAAAUAAAUAAAAUUUAGGGGUUUUGUUUGUUUUGAUGUACACAUCAUUUAAGAUGUUAAAAACUAGAUUAAACUUUACAAAUAAUUUUCUAAUGUAAAUUAUCAUCCCAAAUUCUAAUCCCUUCUAAUGAUAUUCAUUAUAAUAUUUAGUAAAGAAUAAAUAGACUUUAAUGUUGAGUUCUCCCUGAUGGCAAUUUCUGCAAGUGAUUGCAGGGAACACAGUGCUACUAACUUAAUGGUCUCUUAACAACUAUGGUAAAAAAAAGUUCCCAAAAUAAUGUUCAAAAAGCUAAACAUAGAAUUACCAUAUGGCCCAGCAAAUUCCUCUCAUGGGUGUAUUCCCCCAAAGAAUGGAAAACUGGGACUCAGACACUUGUAUGGCAAUGUUAAUUGCAGCAUUAUUCACAGUAGCCAAAAGGCGUCAGCAACCCAGGUGACCAUCUGGAUAAACAAGACUUAGAUUGGUGGCCUUCCCAACCCAGCCUCACUGAGUUAGCUGCCCCUCUUCUGGGUUCCCGGAAUACCCAAACACACCCCUGCUUAAAACCAAGCAUGUCAAAUAAGGACCUGUUUAUCUCUCCCCUCUAUCUAGAUCAGUGCCUGACUCAGAACUAACAAUGACAAAUACUUGCCCAAUGACUAAAGGGCCACCUUCUUAGGCAAAAUCUUAUAGUGACUUCCUGGUACCUACAGAAAAAAAAAAGUUCAAAUUCUAGCACCUGGCUUAUGAGCUGCUUGAAGAGAAAGGUGGGAAGGUGUGCUGCCUUUCAGGUUUUCUACUACCCAACCUCGUCUCCCAGCAGCUCUCCCAGGAGACCUCUGUUCUGUGGUUUCCUGAAGAUGCAGGCAUGAACCAUCAGGUUCUGUGCAUCUGCUCUGAGCCAGGUGCUAUGUGAGAACGUGUUGUUGGUCACCCUCGGUGGGCUUCCUUCUGACCUCAAGCCUUGGCAUAUUCAUUCACCUCCCCAGCCUCUUCCCUCCUUGCCACUGAUCUAAAUUCUACCUAUUUUUCCAUAUGGGCAUUUCUACCAAUAUUUUAGUUCACCUUUUUUCACUUCAAAUUCUUAACAUUUCGAGAACAGAGGUCUUUUAAUUUUCCUUUUCACUGGUAGGCUUGGAGGUUAAUUAUAGUCACCCUAUUAUGCUAUGGAACACUAGGUCUUACUCCAUGUAUCAAACUAGUUUUGUACUCAACCAUCUCCUCCUUACCGGCCCCUCCCCACCACCCUUCCCAGCCUCUGGUAACCAUCAUGCUUCUCUGUAUGAAUUCAAGUUUGUUUCUUUUAAGUGAGACCAUGUGGUAUUUGUCUUUCUGUGCCUGGCUUAUUUGACUUAACAAGUCCUCCAGUUCUAUCCAUGUUGUUGCAAAUGACAGAAUUUCAUUAUUUUUAUGGCUAAAUAAUAAUCUAUUGUGUAUAUGUACCAUAUUUGCUUUAUCCAUUCAAAAGAAAAGAGUGAUGAAAAGAAUGGAACUGGAAUGUUUGUUUGUUUUUGAGACAGAGUCUCACACUGUCACCCAGGCUGGAGUGCAGUGGCAAUCUUGGCUCACUGCAGCCUCCCCUCUAGGUUCCAGCUAUUCUUCUGCCUCAGCCUCCCAAGUAGCUGGGAUUACAGGUGUGUGCCACCACACACAGCUAAUUUUUGUAUUUUUAGUAGAGACAGGGUUUCACCAUAUUGGCCAGGCUGGUCUUGAACUCCUGACCUCAAGAGAUCCACCCACCUCAGCCUCCCAAAGUGCUGGGAUUACAGGUGUGAGCCACCGUGCCCUGCCAGAACUGGAAUGUUUCUAACACAAAGAAAUAAUAAAUGUUUAAGGUGAUGCAUAUCCCAAUUACCCUGAUGUGAUCAUUACACAUUGUAUGCUUAUAUCAAAAUAUCACAUAUUCCCAUAUAUAUGUACAACUAUUAUGUAUUCAUGAUAAUUAAAACUAUAUUUUUUUUUGGUCAGGCACGGUGGUUCAUACCUGUAAUCCCAGUACUUAGGGAAGCUGAGACGGGAGGAUCACUUGAGGCAAAAAAAAAAAAAAAAAA